UGGCUCUCGCAUCGAUGAAGAACGCAGCGAAAUGCGAUAAGUAAUGUGAAUUGCAGAAUUCAGUGAAUCAUCGAAUCUUUGAACGCACCUUGCGCUCCUUGGUAUUCCGAGGAGCAUGCCUGUUUGAGUGUCAUGUUUUCCUCAGCCCCUCUUGGAUUUUUUCUGGGAUGGAGCUGGAUGUGGGGGUUGCAGGCUUUUCUUUGUAAAGUCUGCUCCUCUUAAAUGAAUUAGUGUGAAUGUUACUAAAUGUUUCCCCAGUGUAAUAAUUAUUUGCGCUGUUGGAUCCUCUGUAUAUGUUCAUGCUUACAGCUUGUCCUUUCAAUAGGAUAAUAUACUUUUGUGUUUGACCUCAAAUCAGGUAGGACUACCCGCUGA
rnacentral:misc_RNA from 1 species